rnacentral:misc_RNA from 1 species
AGGUAAUCCUGUCGGAUCCAUUUGGCAUUAACAAAACUGUAAAUUUGAUGUGGGCAACAAGGUCCCCAGGCUUCUCAUGCAAGACAGGAUAGGGCUGCAAUAGGUCAUGAUUAACACAUUCCACCAGUCCUAGCCGAGCUCGUUUCUCUUCCAAGGCCCUUGCACUAAAUGGCAUGAUAGGAAAUUUCUGGCUUAUUUCACUAAAUAUAAACCUUGAUGCCUUCAUCUUUAGAUGAUAAUUUUUAUCAACUGCUCUCUUAUAAAUUGUAGUUUGCUUCUCAUCCAACAGUUUUGGCUUUCCUUCACCUGUGCUAGUGACUAUA